rnacentral:rRNA from 1 species
AGUCGAGCGGAGAGAGGUAGCUUGCUACUGAUCUUAGCGGCGGACGGGUGAGUAAUGCUUAGGAAUCUGCCUAUUAGUGGGGGACAACAUUUCGAAAGGAAUGCUAAUACCGCAUACGUCCUACGGGAGAAAGCAGGGGAUCUUCGGACCUUGCGCUAAUAGAUGAGCCUAAGUCGGAUUAGCUAGUUGGUGGGGUAAAGGCCUACCAAGGCGACGAUCUGUAGCGGGUCUGAGAGGAUGAUCCGCCACACUGGGACUGAGACACGGCCCAGACUCCUACGGGAGGCAGCAGUGGGGAAUAUUGGACAAUGGGCGCAAGCCUGAUCCAGCCAUGCCGCGUGUGUGAAGAAGGCCUUAUGGUUGUAAAGCACUUUAAGCGAGGAGGAGGCUACUUUAGAUAAUACCUAGAGAUAGUGGACGUUACUCGCAGAAUAAGCACCGGCUAACUCUGUGCCAGCAGCCGCGGUAAUACAGAGGGUGCAAGCGUUAAUCGGAUUUACUGGGCGUAAAGCGCGCGUAGGCGGCUAAUUAAGUCAAAUGUGAAAUCCCCGAGCUUAACUUGGGAAUUGCAUUCGAUACUGGUUAGCUAGAGUGUGGGAGAGGAUGGUAGAAUUCCAGGUGUAGCGGUGAAAUGCGUAGAGAUCUGGAGGAAUACCGAUGGCGAAGGCAGCCAUCUGGCCUAACACUGACGCUGANGUGCGAAAGCAUGGGGAGCAAACAGGAUUAGAUACCCUGGUAGUCCAUGCCGUAAACGAUGUCUACUAGCCGUUGGGGCCUUUGAGGCUUUAGUGGCGCAGCUAACGCGAUAAGUAGACCGCCUGGGGAGUACGGUCGCAAGACUAAAACUCAAAUGAAUUGACGGGGGCCCGCACAAGCGGUGGAGCAUGUGGUUUAAUUCGAUGCAACGCGAAGAACCUUACCUGGCCUUGACAUAGUAAGAACUUUCCAGAGAUGGAUUGGUGCCUUCGGGAACUUACAUACAGGUGCUGCAUGGCUGUCGUCAGCUCGUGUCGNGAGAUGUUGGGUUAAGUCCCGCAACGAGCGCAACCCUUUUCCUUAUUUGCCAGCGAGUAAUGUCGGGAACUUUAAGGAUACUGCCAGUGACAAACUGGAGGAAGGCGGGGACGACGUCAAGUCAUCAUGGCCCUUACGGCCAGGGCUACACACGUGCUACAAUGGUCGGUACAAAGGGUUGCUACCUAGCGAUAGGAUGCUAAUCUCAAAAAGCCGAUCGUAGUCCGGAUUGGAGUCUGCAACUCGACUCCAUGAAGUCGGAAUCGCUAGUAAUCGCGGAUCAGAAUGCCGCGGUGAAUACGUUCCCGGGCCUUGUACACACCGCCCGUCACACCAUGGGAGUUUGUUGCACCAGAAGUAGCUAGCCUAACNGCAAAGAGGGC